GAUGAACGCUAGCGGCAGGCUUAAUACAUGCAAGUCGAACGGUAACAUGAGUAGCAAUACUUGAUGACGAGUGGCGCACGGGUGCGUAACGCGUAUGCAAUCUACCUUUAACUGGUGAAUAGCCCGAAGAAAUUCGGAUUAACACACCAUAGUAUAUUAGAGUGGCAUCACUUUGAUAUUAAAACUCCGGUGGUUAAAGAUGAGCAUGCGUGACAUUAGCUAGUUGGUGAGGUAAUGGCUCACCAAGGCAACGAUGUCUAGGGGAUCUGAGAGGAUUAACCCCCACACUGGUACUGAGACACGGACCAGACUCCUACGGGAGGCAG
rnacentral:rRNA from 1 species